CCAGACUCCUACGGGAGGCAGCAGUGGGGAAUAUUGCACAAUGGGCGCAAGCCUGAUGCAGCCAUGCCGCGUGUGUGAAGAAGGCCUUCGGGUUGUAAAGCACUUUCAGUCAGGAGGAAAGGUUAACGGUUAAUACCCGUUAGCUGUGACGUUACUGACAGAAGAAGCACCGGCUAACUCCGUGCCAGCAGCCGCGGUAAUACGGAGGGUGCGAGCGUUAAUCGGAAUUACUGGGCGUAAAGCGUACGCAGGCGGUUUGUUAAGCGAGAUGUGAAAGCCCCGGGCUCAACCUGGGAACUGCAUUUCGAACUGGCAAACUAGAGUGUGAUAGAGGGUGGUAGAAUUUCAGGUGUAGCGGUGAAAUGCGUAGAGAUCUGAAGGAAUACCGAUGGCGAAGGCAGCCACCUGGGUCAACACUGACGCUCAUGUACGAAAGCGUGGGGAGCAAACGGGAUUAGAUACCCCGGUAGUCCACGCCGUAAACGAUGUCUACUAGAAGCUCGGAGCCUCGGUUCUGUUUUUCAAAGCUAACGCAUUAAGUAGACCGCCUGGGGAGUACGGCCGCAAGGUUAAAACUCAAAUGAAUUGACGGGGGCCCGCACAAGCGGUGGAGCAUGUGGUUUAAUUCGAUGCAACGCGAAGAACCUUACCUACACUUGACAUACAGAGAACUUACCAGAGAUGGUUUGGUGCCUUCGGGAACUCUGAUACAGGUGCUGCAUGGCUGUCGUCAGCUCGUGUUGUGAGAUGUUGGGUUAAGUCCCGCAACGAGCGCAACCCCUAUCCUUAGUUGCUAGCAGGUAAUGCUGAGAACUCUAAGGAGACUGCCGGUGAUAAACCGGAGGAAGGUGGGGACGACGUCAAGUCAUCAUGGCCCUUACGUGUAGGGCUACACACGUGCUACAAUGGCGCAUACAGAGUGCUGCGAACUCGCGAGAGUAAGCGAAUCACUUAAAGUGCGUCGUAGUCCGGAUUGGAGUCUGCAACUCGACUCCAUGAAGUCGGAAUCGCUAGUAAUCGCGUAUCAGAAUGACGCGGUGAAUACGUUCCCGGGCCUUGUACACACCGCCCGUCACACCAUGGGAGUGGGUUGCUCCAGAAGUAGAUAGUCUAACCCUCGGGAGGACGUUUACCACGGAGUGAUUCAUGACUGGGGUGAAGUCGUAACAAGGUAGCCCUAGGGGAACCUGGGGCUGGAUCACCUCCUUA
rnacentral:rRNA from 1 species